CGAUAACGAACGAGACCUUAACCUACUAAAUAGUGCUGCUAGCUUUUGCUGGUAUAGUCCUUCUUAGAGGGACUAUCGAUUUCAAGUCGAUGGAAGUUUGAGGCAAUAACAGGUCUGUGAUGCCCUUAGACGUUCUGGGCCGCACGCGCGCUACACUGACGGAGCCAACGAGUAUUAACCUUGGCCGAGAGGUCUGGGAAAUCUUGUGAAACUCCGUCGUGCUGGGGAUAGAGCAUUGUAAUUAUUGCUCUUCAACGAGGAAUUCCUAGUAAGCGCAAGUCUCAGCUUGCGUUGAUUACGUCCCUGCCCUUUGUACACACCGCCCGUCGCUACUACCGAUUGAAUGGCU
rnacentral:rRNA from 1 species